CCCAUUUCAAGUCUAUCAUCAUCCAGCAGAAUGAGUACAAUUGAAUCACCACCGAGACUAGUUUCUCAAGAAUCAGCGUCAAGAUUGAUUUCUCAAGAAUCAUCAACUAUAAUUGAAGGAACAGAAGAAGUUACAACUGGGGAUGAGAUAUCACUGUUCCGAGGGUGCGUGUUGGAAGGAAGAUGGGAGUUCGUGAUUCCUGCAUACAGAAACGAGAGUGAGUUUCACAAAAUCAGAAUCAACGAAAGCAGAGGCACUGCACUGCAUGUUGCAGUGAAUGAUGGGAAAGUGGAGCUUGUUAAAAUUCUGGUUGGAG
rnacentral:sRNA from 1 species